rnacentral:rRNA from 1 species
GAUGAACGCUGGCGGCGUGCCUAAUACAUGCAAGUCGAGCGAACGGACGAGAAGCUUGCUUCUCUGAUGUUAGCGGCGGACGGGUGAGUAACACGUGGAUAACCUACCUAUAAGACUGGGAUAACUUCGGGAAACCGGAGCUAAUACCGGAUAAUAUUUUGAACCGCAUGGUUCAAAAGUGAAAGACGGUCUUGCUGUCACUUAUAGAUGGAUCCGCGCUGCAUUAGCUAGUUGGUAAGGUAACGGCUUACCAAGGCAACGAUGCAUAGCCGACCUGAGAGGGUGAUCGGCCACACUGGAACUGAGACACGGUCCAGACUCCUACGGGAGGCAGCAGUAGGGAAUCUUCCGCAAUGGGCGAAAGCCUGACGGAGCAACGCCGCGUGAGUGAUGAAGGUCUUCGGAUCGUAAAACUCUGUUAUUAGGGAAGAACAUAUGUGUAAGUAACUGUGCACAUCUUGACGGUACCUAAUCAGAAAGCCACGGCUAACUACGUGCCAGCAGCCGCGGUAAUACGUGGGUGGCAAGCGUUAUCCGGAAUUAUUGGGCGUAAAGCGCGCGUAGGCGGUUUUUUAAGUCUGAUGUGAAAGCCCACGGCUCAACCGUGGAGGGUCAUUGGAAACUGGAAAACUUGAGUGCAGAAGAGGAAAGUGGAAUUCCAUGUGUAGCGGUGAAAUGCGCAGAGAUAUGGAGGAACACCAGUGGCGAAGGCGACUUUCUGGUCUGUAACUGACGCUGAUGUGCGAAAGCGUGGGGAUCAAACAGGAUUAGAUACCCUGGUAGUCCACGCCGUAAACGAUGAGUGCUAAGUGUUAGGGGGUUUCCGCCCCUUAGUGCUGCAGCUAACGCAUUAAGCACUCCGCCUGGGGAGUACGACCGCAAGGUUGAAACUCAAAGGAAUUGACGGGGACCCGCACAAGCGGUGGAGCAUGUGGUUUAAUUCGAAGCAACGCGAAGAACCUUACCAAAUCUUGACAUCCUUUGACAACUCUAGAGAUAGAGCUUUCCCCUUCGGGGGACAAAGUGACAGGUGGUGCAUGGUUGUCGUCAGCUCGUGUCGUGAGAUGUUGGGUUAAGUCCCGCAACGAGCGCAACCCUUAAGCUUAGUUGCCAUCAUUAAGUUGGGCACUCUAAGUUGACUGCCGGUGACAAACCGGAGGAAGGUGGGGAUGACGUCAAAUCAUCAUGCCCCUUAUGAUUUGGGCUACACACGUGCUACAAUGGACAAUACAAAGGGCAGCGAAACCGCGAGGUCAAGCAAAUCCCAUAAGGUUGUUCUCAGUUCGGAUUGUAGUCUGCAACUCGACUACAUGAAGCUGGAAUCGCUAGUAAUCGUAGAUCAGCAUGCUACGGUGAAUACGUUCCCGGGUCU